GAAGGGUCAUGGCUCAGUGGUAGAGCAUCCACUUGACAUGCAGAAGAUCUCAGUUUCAAUCCCUGGCAUCUUCA
rnacentral:tRNA from 1 species